rnacentral:rRNA from 1 species
GUGGCAGCCGCCGCGGUAAUACGUAGGUGGCAAGCGUUAUCCGGAAUUAUUGGGCGUAAAGCGCGCGUAGGCGGUUCUUUAAGUCUGAUGUGAAAGCCCACGGCUCAACCGUGGAGGGUCAUUGGAAACUGGAAAACUUGAGUGCAGAAGAGGAAAGUGGAAUUCCAUGUGUAGCGGUGAAAUGCGCAGAGAUAUGGAGGAACACCAGUGGCGAAGGCGACUUUCUGGUCUGUAACUGACGCUGAGGAGCGAAAGCUAGGGGAGCAAACGGGAUUAGAUACCCUGGUAGUCCUAGCCGUAA